AGGCUGGGUUCCUUUGUAUGUUGUCUUUAAGUCGGUUUUCUUUUGCGAGUCUAUGAAACACGGCCUGAUUCUCAGUUGGUUCUUCCAGCAAUUUUGUUGCUACAAAUCCAAGAGUACGAAGGCUGUUCACACCACUGGAGCAGGAAAGACUCACCUAACUUUGCCAGCCUAGGACUUCAGGGGGCUUACCUUUCAUUCGUCUGCAUGGGGAAAACGACGACGAGUGGCCUUUGGGAAAUGGCACAGCCCAGCUGCAGGAGGCCGGAACCAGCCGUUGGCUUGGGCACCGAAGAGAAGAGAUGUCUGGCCACAAGGGUGCCCCCUCUCACUCCAGAUGUUGCUCAGUGGGCCUGGGGGAAGAAGGGAGCCGUGUGAUGCAGACAGAGAGCUCAGGGCAAGAGACGAAGGCCACACACCAGGGCUGGAAGGGGCAGGGCCCCACCAGGGGCCCAUUUCUCCCCAAGGUGACACAGGGCAGCUUCCUCACAGGGCUGGAUCAGGUAAGGCCCGCCGGGCCCCGCUGGGACCUCAUCGGUUGGGACUUUUCGCUGGCUGCGGAGGUGCACCGCAGACCCAGGCAGCUUCGUGGCCUGGGGACCUGCCUAACCGCUCUGGGUGAUGUGACAAGGAGUUCCGGUCCCCUCCCAGGUCCCACCUGCCCAGGGAGCUGCAGCGAGCAGCUGAAUGGUGUGGCUCCACCCUGAGCCCACAGGGAGGCUUACCUGGCAGACACAUACCCCAGCCUGUUUUCCAGGGGGGCAGGGCCACUGCUGAGGAACGGGAUGCCAGCUGGAAAAGCGGGAGGAAAGCGUUCAGAAAUGGGCAGCGGUCCAUCUGAGCCAGCCCCCUCCUGCCUUCCCCGAGAAACUGCAAAGGCACUGCCCCCCAGACAAAAACAGGAGAAGCUUCUGUGGUUGGAGGUGAGAGA